UUAACAGUGGAAAAGCCCAAGCUGCUACUCUGCCAAUGGAGUAAACAUUCUUUAUUCUUUUGCUUUCUUAAUAAAUUUGUUUGCACUUUACUCUAUGGAUUCUCCUCAGGUUCUUUCUUGUGUGAGAUCCAAGAACCCUCUCUUAGGGUCUAGAUUUUCCAGUCUUCUUUCUGGUAACAUCUUCCUGGUGACCAUGAAGGGACAACACUGAAGAGACCCUUGACCCGGAGGAAAUAGACUACAGCACCAACUGGCCAACUUCGGGUAACUGUUGGGGUACGUUUUACCCAGGUAAAGGAUGGAAUUGGGUUAGAUGCCCAACUUAGAGGAGUUAGAGCUGCUCCUAAGACAGUGCGGGUUAAAGGACCCUCUUGAUAAAAGCUGCUGGGAAACUCAGAGUCAAACCUGAAUCCUACUACUGCAAAGAGCACAGGACCCUCAGGCAAACAUUGUAUAUACCCAAGUGGUCCCUGGCGCCACCUUCAUUUACUGCACCAGGUUUUCUUCCUUGUGAUGAUGUUCUCUCUCCCUCUCUUUUUUUUUUCAAUCCUGUUUUACUCUGCACAUUUCUGCAAGCCACAAAACUACUCCUUGAAGUAUGGAUAACAUAUAAACAAAGUGAACAAACAAAUCAGACAGGUGACUAUUGGCCUUCUUCCAAAUGAUGUGCCAUGAAGAACUUCUACUGAGUUCUACAAGAGCAUUCUGGGAGUGUUUCUCAAGACAAAGCUGACUUCUAGGUAGCUAUGGGGAGUGCCCGCAAGCCUGGGCUGCAGUGAAAGUCAGCAGGAUGGACUGGAAGAGCCAGAAGUCUGUGUGGGAGGUAUCAGCCCCUUCCUGCUGCUUCCUUCCCUUGGUUGAGGUAAAUGCUCCACUUCUUUCUCUGGGCCUCAGUUUUCUCAUCAGAAGAAUGAGAAGAGAUGCUUACUGGUUAGGUCUGCUUAGGAAGAGAGAAAGACAAGUAUAGAACUUGCCCUGGAAGAGCAACCCAAGCCUAGCUGACCCACAUGGAAGAGCAGCUCUCCCUACUUCCAAAUCUUUCCCUUUCUUCCUUUCUUGCUUGCUUUCUUGCUUUCCUUCCUU